rnacentral:rRNA from 1 species
AUAGUUAAUGUUAAGUUUAUAAAUUAUCUUCAUUUUAUAAUCAUCAAUCACGACCUCAUAUCAAGUGAGAUUACCCGCUGAAUUUAAGCAUAUUAAUAAGCGGAGGAAAAGAAACUAACAAUGAUUCCUUUAAGUAACGGCGAGUGAAGAAGGAAUAGCUCAAAUUUAAAAUCAUGAAUCUUUGGUUUAUGAAUUGUAGUUUAGAAGUUGGAUUCGUUUUCAAUAAUAUACUUAAAUCCUUUGGAAAAAGGUAUCAUAGAAGGUGAAAAUCCUGUUUAUAGUAUAUUAAUUGAGGAACAUAUGUAUCUGAUUUCAAGAGUCGGGUUGUUUGGGAAUGCAACCUAAAAUGGGUGGUAAAUCUCAUCUAAAAGCUAAAUAUUGAUAGGAGACCGAUAGCAAACAAGUACCGUGAGG